rnacentral:lncRNA from 1 species
CAAACAGCACUGACGCGUCAGAGAGGCUUGCGGGUGAGCACCUAAUUAGAGGGUGGCCAGGGAAGGCCCGUCUGAGGAGGUGGGACCUGAAUGACAAGGAGUCACCACGGGGCGGUCACAGUGCGCCAGGCAGAGGCACCAGCAAACGCCCAAGGAAGGGCCACAGUCAGCGAGUUUGAGGGACGGAAGGCCAGAGCGGCUGGAGCUUGGGGCAGGAGGCAAGAUGAGGUGGUGCCAGAGUUCGGUCACGAGGAAAUCAUCACCAAAUCCAGACUGAGGACCAGUCUACAAAAUCCGUGGCCAGCUCUGCUCAAGACUGUCACGGUCAUGGGAGACGAGGAGAGACUGAGCCACUGUCACAGAGCAGAGGAGGCUGGAGAGGCAGGACCGAAGGCGAUGCGGGAACUUGGACUGUGUCCUGGAACAGAAAAGGACGUGAGUGGAAACGCCAGUGAAGUCCGAAGGAAGCCUGGAGUUAGUUCACAGCAACGCACCCAUGGUGGGUUUUUAAUUUCGACAGAUGUCCCACAUUAAUGGAAGAUGUUAACAAGAGAGGAAACCAGACUGUGAGCUUCUUGGGGCCAGAGACUAUGUCUUCUUCAUCCCUGUGACCCUCGGACCUGGCACAUAAGAACUCGCUAAAUACGCACUGAACGAACGAUUUUAACAAGAUGAAGCAGCAGCAUUUGAUUGGACAUCCUGGUCCUGGAUCCUGAAACCAGCCUCCUUGGCUUAUGGGUAAGCUACCCCUGACAGCAACUGUAUCAUUUUGGUGGAUUUAAAAGAAAAUACAAUGUCAUCCAAUCAAACCAUCUCUCUUUUGAAACCAAGGCAGUGUCACCGUACUAAUCGAAGCUCCCAAGGCCUUGUUUUCUGGAUGGACUCCCUUCGACAGCAAUAAUGGGCAGUAACAAACUAAGCCCUCACCCCAGCUGCCUGUGAUAAACGCAUCCAGAACACACUACAAAUCUCAGAGUGAGGCUCUGAGGCCUGAGGCUGCAGCAAAAGAAAACCAAGGUUGACAGGCACAAGUUUAAGAACCUGAUAUUCUCUAAAUGAAAAAAGGCCAGAUGCCUGUUUCUUCACCACUGAAUGCAGAAAGUGUGUUAUCUGAGCGUCCUGCCGUUUUUUAAACCUGGGACUCUAAUGAUAUUUGUUUGGUCAACUCUAAACUUCAUUUGUUAAAAAAAAAAAUCUAAUUUACUGAGUCUCACAGUGUUUCUUUCCUUUGCCUUAAAUUGUUGGG